UUUCUGUAAAUGACAUCAGAAUAUAUUGUUCAUAGAAAUUGAACGUUUUGGUAAAUAGUCUUAAUCACAAAUCAUCAGAAAUGUAUUUAGCAACAAAAAGUUCAUAGUCCUGCUUGGUUUCCACUAGCACACUGUGAUUAUCAUGUUCCGAAUAGGUAUACGUCCAAUAGGUUAACAAAUUUGUCAUAGUUCUUCAUCAUAACUGUUCUAAUAAGUUGCAAAUGUUAUUAGUUCAGUAUCUUAACAUUUGAUAUAUGAAUAGUUUGUGUCCAUGAAAUAUCAUCAUCAGGCUUUCAAC
rnacentral:lncRNA from 1 species